rnacentral:rRNA from 1 species
GAUGAACGCUGGCGGCGCGCCUAACACAUGCAAGUCGAACGGUUAAAGCACCUUUUAGGUGUGUAUAAAGUGGCGAACGGCUGAGUAACACGUGGGCAACCUGCCCUCCUCUUGGGGAUAGCCUCGGGAAACCGAGGAUAAUACCCGAUACUUCAAUGUGGCCGCAUGACGACAUUGAGAAAGCUUUUGCGGAGAAGGAUGUGCCCGCGGCCUGUUAGCUUGUUGGUGGGGUAGAGGCCUACCAAGGCAAUGAUGGGUAGCUGGGUUGAGAGACCGACCAGCCAGAUUGGGACUGAGGCACGGCCCAGACUCCUACGGGAGGCAGCAGUGGGGAAUCUUGCACAAUGGGCGAAAGCCUGAUGCAGCGACGCCGCGUGCGGGACGAAGGCCUUCGGGUUGUAAACCGCUUUCAGCAGGGACGAGGCGAUAAGUGACGGUACCUGCAGAAGAAGCCCCGGCUAACUACGUG